rnacentral:lncRNA from 13 species
CGCGAUUGCCAAAACGAAACGGUGAAUUACUUCAAUAAACAGCUGGCGUAUGAUUUUAUCCUUUGUCAAGCGUAUGACUUUUUGAGCCCUGCCCCUGGGGAGGCCAGAGCCAAGCUGUUCGCAGCCAACGCUGCCGCGUGUUCUCUCCUGAGGUGGCCGACCGUGUUCUGUUGUGGAGACUGCAGCUUCGUUCCAGAGGACUACUGUCAGCUAGGGCUUGACCCCGGGCGCGUCGGCAGGACAGGUGCUGUGCAGGUGCACAUGUUUUCAGACAGCUUUACACUUGGCUCCGUUCCACCGCUCUUCCUGGAACCUCAGUGUCUCACAGUGGCGUCCUGCUUACUGGACAUGCAGGGUGUAAAUGCCAAGACCUCCCAGACAAAUGACAUCAACACCCAUUUCAAACGUUGGCACGUCAACAUGCUGUGCAACAAACUUAACAUGCCAAAUAAAUAAUGGAAUUAAGCCACGGUAUUAUUAGAGGAAAUUCAUUUCCUGUCUUUAGUUAUUUGGUUGUGCGGGUGCGUCCACUCAUAUAUUCUUUGUUGUGGUUUUCUAGACCGCAGCGCUAGUGUCUGGGGCACGCCUGAUUUGAAAAUACCAGCCCAUCUCAUUAACAUGCACAGAUAGAGCUGCGAGGGCCAAUUACAUUCAUCAGCGGUGUCUCCAAGUCGUUAAUAUUUUAUGGCAACACGCUCCCCCAGCCGCCGCAGCAGCAACACACCGGUGCUCUUACAUUAUUCUACAGCGUAAGACAUGGGAUCAAAACAUCCCCCCCUGCAAACACACAUUUCUGGGUCAUCACGGCACAAGCAUGAAAAAUGAGGGGAGAGGGAACUUGACGGAAAUUCUCCUCGUGGUAGUGCGACUUGUAUGGUAGCCGAUCAUGAACGUACUGUCAACAAUAUCAAUGGAAUAACCUGUAUUAUUGACCGUCAACUAAUCAUUUAUUUAUUUCAACAGUCAGAACAGUCUAAACACAGGAAGUAAUCCAUUAAAACGAGGAAAUGAGAAGGAACUCACAUCUGUUAUAGGAGGACGAUGAGAAGCGGGUCUUCAAGGCAUUGCACUAAUGCUGAGUGGGCUGAAACAAAACCUGUGAUAAAAAUAUUAAUUAAAGCUCCAGUGAAUUGAGAUAGCAUAAUAAUUAACGCAAAGCAGUCGGCAGAGGAAUUAUGGGUCCUCAAGAAAUUAUGAGUGCAUCCACUGCAUCAGCAGUUCUAACGGCGAAUGGGAGUCAACAACGGAUGCAGAGAUGUAGAAACAGCCUCAUUAGCUAGCAGUCUAAGAGGAGAGGAGAGGGGCUGAGGCCUGCAGAGACUAAGAUUUCAGCUCAUUUUCACCACACACAUCAAAUGAGGACAUCACUCCCAUCAAGAGCUCAAAUUCCCAUGUGCAUAUCUAUCACUGUCUGUGGUGCACCUCUUCACACACAACAUGCAUGGGAAACAGAUGAGUGGACACUUGAUUGGUGCGAGGUGAUUUGUUUUCUCUUCAAUUCAAAUGUCAUAUAACUCAGUGUUGUCAAACAAGAGAGGAAGUUAGGAGGUGGAAAACAGGAUGUAAAGGGGGUCAUUCUAACAAUCCAGUGACUUUUGGACCUCUUAACUUUUUUUGGGGGGGGGGGGGGGGG